GAUGAACGCUGGCGGCGUGCCUAAUACAUGCAAGUCGAGCGAACGGACGAGAAGCUUGCUUCUCUGAUGUUAGCGGCGGACGGGUGAGUAACACGUGGAUAACCUACCUAUAAGACUGGGAUAACUUCGGGAAACCGGAGCUAAUACCGGAUAAUAUUUUGAACCGCAUGGUUCAAAAGUGAAAGACGGUCUUGCUGUCACUUAUAGCUGGAUCCGCGCUGCAUUAGCUAGUUGGUAAGGUAACGGCUUACCAAGGCAACGAUGCAUAGCCGACCUGAGAGGGUGAUCGGCCACACUGGAACUGAGACACGGUCCAGACUCCUACGGGAGGCAGCAGUAGGGAAUCUUCCGCAAUGGGCGAAAGCCUGACGGAGCAACGCCGCGUGAGUGAUGAAGGUCUUCGGAUCGUAAAACUCUGUUAUUAGGGAAGAACAUAUGUGUAAGUAACUGUGCACAUCUUGACGGUACCUAAUAAGAAAGCCACGGCUAACUACGUG
rnacentral:rRNA from 1 species